rnacentral:rRNA from 1 species
AUUGAACGCUGGCGGCAGGCCUAACACAUGCAAGUCGAACGAGUGGCGGACGGGUGAGUAAUGUCUGGGAAACUGCCUGAUGGAGGGGGAUAACUACUGGAAACGGUAGCUAAUACCGCAUACCAUCAGAUGUGCCCAUAUGGGAUUAGCUUGUUGGUGGGGUAACGGCUCACAAAGGCGACGAUCCCUAGCUGGUCUGCGAGGAUGACCAGACACACUGGAACUGAGACACGGACCAGACUCCUACGGGAGGCAGCAGUGGGGAAUAUUGCACAAUGGGUGCAAGCCUGAUGCAGCCAUGCCGCGUGUAUGAAGAAGGCCUUCGGGUUGUAAAGUACUUUCGGCGGGGAGGCGUUACCCGCAGAAUAAGCACCGGCUAACUCCGUGCCAGCAGCCGCGGUAAUAC